rnacentral:lncRNA from 1 species
CACCGUUCAAACCAUUAGUUAUAACAAAACAGGAACCACUACAUUGACUCAAAGAAACCAAAAACUGUGCACUCCUUCCAGUUUUUAUGUUUGCAAGUCAAACACAGAAAUACUUCCGUCCCAUGAGCACGAAGCGAUAACGUUAGGUAGAGCAGGGUGGAAGGUGACAUCGAUGCAUGCUUGGUCGUAGGCCUUGAUUUUGUUUAAAACUUUUGAUGACUGAUAAUCGUAAAGGUAAAUAGAACCAUCUGAAGACCCAGAGGCAAGCUUCUUCCCAUCCAAGCUGAAGUUGCAAGUAAUUGGAAAGCCAGAGACACCAUGGCUCUCGUACCGCUUAUAUUUGUUGAGUCUGUAAGGCGGGGUGGCAGUAAAAAUAGCAAUGUAAUUCCCAUUUGAUUGGGCAACAAAAGUCGAAUCAAAUGGAUGGCACCUUAUACACGGACAAGUAUAAGCUUCUGCAUAAACCUGAUUCAAAAGCAAUAAUAAGAAAUAAUAUAAAUCAUGGGUUAAUGGUUAUAAGGGUACUUGAAAUAUCACGUAUGCAUCAAUUUAGUCCUCAAAAGAUCACAUCUCAAACUGGUCCCUAGAAGAUAUAACAAUGAUCAUAUUGGUAAUUCCCAUGCGGCACGACAAAAGGAUAUGGCCCCUCAAUUCGGAAUAAAAAGUUCACAUCACAUCAUACAUGUUAAGGGAGAAAGCAAUAACGGACCUGUUCUUCUAGUGCAUGCUAUUAGUUGUAGUUAGAUUAAGAGUGACAACACAAACAAAAUAUACGACUUCAGCUAGAGGUUUAGAUUUUCAACUGAGUUUGUUUAUGAAAUCUUUCUGUUAGGUGAGAAGUCAGGAAUUGAAAGUAGGGGAGUCCAAAGUGGAGAGUCCAACUCAGUAUGAGGAGCAACAACAAGGUUAAUUGGGUAGUGCAAAGGACAAAGAGAGGCUAACCCAUUGACCUGUCUUUCAUUUAGGUUACAAAUAAAAAUUGAAAUUCUAAAAAAGGUCAUCUUAAGAGAAAAAAGGUGGAGCCAUUAUGCAAAGAAGAACCCAAAUAUCUUCCAAAAAUUUGGUGUAAGAGCCAUCAGCCCAUCACCCAAAUGAAUGGUUGAGAGAACUAAAGGAAGGUAACCUUGGGUGACAAAUUUCCAGGGACUGUUAUGCGCCACUAUAGUCGAAGAGUUGGUGUCACAUCCAUUCUUAUGCAAGCCAUACUUCACAAACAGAAUGUAAGUUUAUUUCUAUACCCACUUCCUUGGAUCAUAAUCAAUCUCUGUUAUAUGAACAUGGUUCUGCCAAAAGAUACAAUCUCUUAUGAGAAAACAAGUUUACAUGAAAAGCAAGUAGAUAAAGGCGGCACAAAAGAUCAUAGUUUGACCUGAAAUGCAGGUAAAGAAUGACAGCAUGAAAUUUGAUAGCUGGCAUAUAAUAUAAACAUGGGCAUUCCAUCACUUGAAUUGCAACUUCAGUUUCAAGUUUAGCACAAUUACAUGCUUAGGGGAUAACAUGAUGAUGACUGAAAAGAUGCAUUAGUUACAGAAUACAAAGAUGUUAUAGCUUGCAUGUUUUCUGUGUGGUGUGAGUGUAAGAUUUUCGUUAUGAGUGCUAAUUGCUUUCAAGCAGAACAUCCGGAAUCCCUCCAUUUGAAGUCACAAAAGUUUGCUAAAACUUAAAACUAUCUUCUGAGGACAAAACUAUAUGGUGGCUUACCAGACAAGAUUAAGCAUCCUUAUAAAGGAACUAGUCUAAAUAAUCUGUAGACAUUAGCAUUUGGUAGACAUGUAAACAAAUAAUUAAAUAAUUCUCUUCCAAUAUUUGUAGUUGCUAUACUAUUCAGAACAAGAAUCUGUCACAUCAUUAGAGUUUAGUCAUUGAUUUCUCACUUGAGGCAAAUACUUUUGAACAGUUCUUUAAACAACAUAUGAUUCACCUUGAUCUAAUCUGUAAUGGAAUACACAAUAAACCCAAUCUGAAAGGUAGAAUAAUUAAAAAAACACAACUCUCAAGAAAUAAAACCUGAGAGGUUUCACCGUUCAAACCAUUAGUUAUAACAAAACAGGAACCACUACAUUGACUCAAAGAAACCAAAAACUGUGCACUCCUUCCAGUUUUUAUGUUUGCAAGUCAAACACAGAAAUACUUCCGUCCCAUGAGCACGAAGCGAUAACGUUAGGUAGAGCAGGGUGGAAGGUGACAUCGAUGCAUGCUUGGUCGUAGGCCUUGAUUUUGUUUAAAACUUUUGAUGACUGAUAAUCGUAAAGGUAAAUAGAACCAUCUGAAGACCCAGAGGCAAGCUUCUUCCCAUCCAAGCUGAAGUUGCAAGUAAUUGGAAAGCCAGAGACACCAUGGCUCUCGUACCGCUUAUAUUUGUUGAGUCUGUAAGGCGGGGUGGCAGUAAAAAUAGCAAUGU